rnacentral:rRNA from 1 species
GGGUUGUGAGGUUAAGCGACUAAGCGUACACGGUGGAUGCCCUGGCAGUCAGAGGCGAUGAAGGACGUGCUAAUCUGCGAAAAGCGUCGGUAAGGUGAUAUGAACCGUUACAGCCGGCGAUGUCCGAAUGGGGAAACCCAGUGCAAUUCGUUGCACUAUCGUUAACUGAAUACAUAGGUUAACGAGGCGAACCGGGGGAACUGAAACAUCUAAGUACCCCGAGGAAAAGAAAUCAACCGAGAUUCCCCCAGUAGCGGCGAGCGAACGGGGAGCAGCCCAGAGUCUGAAUCAGCUUGUGUGUUAGUGGAACGGUCUGGAAAGUCCGACGGUACAGGGUGAUAGUCCCGUACACCAAAAUGCACAGGUUGUGAACUCGAAGAGUAGGGCGGGACACGUGGUAUCCUGUCUGAAUAUGGGGGGACCAUCCUCCAAGGCUAAAUACUCCUGACUGACCGAUAGUGAACCAGUACCGUGAGGGAAAGGCGAAAAGAACCCCGGCGAGGGGAGUGAAAAAGAACCUGAAACCGUGUACGUACAAGCAGUGGGAGCACCUUCGGGUGUGACUGCGUACCUUUUGUAUAAUGGGUCAGCGACUUAUAUUCUGUAGCAAGGUUAACCGUAUAGGGGAGCCGCAGGGAAACCGAGUCUUAACUGGGCGUUAAGUUGCAGGGUAUAGACCCGAAACCCGGUGAUCUAGCCAUGGGCAGGUUGAAGGUUGGGUAACACUAACUGGAGGACCGAACCGACUAAUGUUGAAAAAUUAGCGGAUGACUUGUGGCUGGGGGUGAAAGGCCAAUCAAACCGGGAGAUAGCUGGUUCUCCCCGAAAGCUAUUUAGGUAGCGCCUCGUGAACUCAUCUUCGGGGGUAGAGCACUGUUUCGGCUAGGGGGUCAUCCCGACUUACCAACCCGAUGCAAACUACGAAUACCGAAGAAUGUUAUCACGGGAGACACACGGCGGGUGCUAACGUCCGUCGUGAAGAGGGAAACAACCCAGACCGCCAGCUAAGGUCCCAAAGUCAUGGUUAAGUGGGAAACGAUGUGGGAAGGCACAGACAGCCAGGAUGUUGGCUUAGAAGCAGCCAUCAUUUAAAGAAAGCGUAAUAGCUCACUGGUCGAGUCGGCCUGCGCGGAAGAUGUAACGGGGCUAAACCAUGCACCGAAGCUGCGGCAGCGACACUAUGUGUUGUUGGGUAGGGGAGCGUUCUGUAAGCCUGCGAAGGUGUGCUGUGAGGCAUGCUGGAGGUAUCAGAAGUGCGAAUGCUGACAUAAGUAACGAUAAAGCGGGUGAAAAGCCCGCUCGCCGGAAGACCAAGGGUUCCUGUCCAACGUUAAUCGGGGCAGGGUGAGUCGACCCCUAAGGCGAGGCCGAAAGGCGUAGUCGAUGGGAAACAGGUUAAUAUUCCUGUACUUGGUGUUACUGCGAAGGGGGGACGGAGAAGGCUAUGUUAGCCGGGCGACGGUUGUCCCGGUUUAAGCAUGUAGGCUGGUUGUCCAGGCAAAUCCGGAUAAUCAAGGCUGAGGUGUGAUGACGAGGCACUACGGUGCUGAAGUAACAAAUGCCCUGCUUCCAGGAAAAGCCUCUAAGCAUCAGGUAACAUUAAAUCGUACCCCAAACCGACACAGGUGGUCAGGUAGAGAAUACCAAGGCGCUUGAGAGAACUCGGGUGAAGGAACUAGGCAAAAUGGUGCCGUAACUUCGGGAGAAGGCACGCUGGUGUGUAGGUGAAGUCCCUGCGGAUGGAGCUGAGACCAGUCGAAGAUACCAGCUGGCUGCAACUGUUUAUUAAAAACACAGCACUGUGCAAACACGAAAGUGGACGUAUACGGUGUGACGCCUGCCCGGUGCCGGAAGGUUAAUUGAUGGGGUUAUCCGUAAGGAGAAGCUCUUGAUCGAAGCCCCGGUAAACGGCGGCCGUAACUAUAACGGUCCUAAGGUAGCGAAAUUCCUUGUCGGGUAAGUUCCGACCUGCACGAAUGGCGUAAUGAUGGCCAGGCUGUCUCCACCCGAGACUCAGUGAAAUUGAACUCGCUGUGAAGAUGCAGUGUACCCGCGGCAAGACGGAAAGACCCCGUGAACCUUUACUAUAGCUUGACACUGAACAUUGAGCCUUGAUGUGUAGGAUAGGUGGGAGGCUUUGAAGCGUGGACGCCAGUCUGCGUGGAGCCAACCUUGAAAUACCACCCUUUAAUGUUUGAUGUUCUAACGUUGGCCCCUGACCGGGGUUGCGGACAGUGUCUGGUGGGUAGUUUGACUGGGGCGGUCUCCUCCCAAAGCGUAACGGAGGAGCACGAAGGUUAGCUAAUCCUGGUCGGACAUCAGGAGGUUAGUGCAAUGGCAUAAGCUAGCUUGACUGCGAGCGUGACGGCGCGAGCAGGUGCGAAAGCAGGUCAUAGUGAUCCGGUGGUUCUGAAUGGAAGGGCCAUCGCUCAACGGAUAAAAGGUACUCCGGGGAUAACAGGCUGAUACCGCCCAAGAGUUCAUAUCGACGGCGGUGUUUGGCACCUCGAUGUCGGCUCAUCACAUCCUGGGGCUGAAGUAGGUCCCAAGGGUAUGGCUGUUCGCCAUUUAAAGUGGUACGCGAGCUGGGUUUAGAACGUCGUGAGACAGUUCGGUCCCUAUCUGCCGUGGGCGCUGGAGAAUUGAGGGGGGCUGCUCCUAGUACGAGAGGACCGGAGUGGACGCAUCACUGGUGUUCGGGUUGUCAUGCCAAUGGCACUGCCCGGUAGCUAAAUGCGGAAGAGAUAAGUGCUGAAAGCAUCUAAGCACGAAACUUGCCCCGAGAUGAGUUCUCCCUGAGACUUUAAGUCUCCUGAAGGAACGUUGAAGACGACGACGUUGAUAGGCCGGGUGUGUAAGCGCAGCGAUGCGUUGAGCUAACCGGUACUAAUGAACCGUGAGGCUUAACCUUACAACGCCGAAG